CUCUGCUGCAAAGGCUCGUCGGAGGUUCCCUGUCCUGAGACUCAUAAAAAUUGGAGGCAAAGAAAUGUGGACGUGGAGAAGGCUGGAGCCAGCUGGCUCCUGGCAGGCUCAAGAUCACCCUUUCCCACAGAG
rnacentral:snoRNA from 1 species